AGUGGCGGACGGGUGAGUAACGCGUAAGAAUCUAACUUCAGGACGGGGACAACAGUGGGAAACGACUGCUAAUACCCGAUGUGCCGCGAGGUGAAACCUAAUUGGCCUGAAGAAGAGCUUGCGUCUGAUUAGCUAGUUGGUGGGGUAAGAGCCUACCAAGGCGACGAUCAGUAGCUGGUCUGAGAGGAUGAGCAGCCACACUGGGACUGAGACACGGCCCAGACUCCUACGGGAGGCAGCAGUGGGGAAUUUUCCGCAAUGGGCGAAAGCCUGACGGAGCAACGCCGCGUGAGGGAGGAAGGUCUUUGGAUUGUAAACCUCUUUUCUCAAGGAAGAAGUUCUGACGGUACUUGAGGAAUCAGCCUCGGCUAACUCCGUGCCAGCAGCCGCGGUAAUACGGGGGAGGCAAGCGUUAUCCGGAAUUAUUGGGCGUAAAGCGUCCGCAGGUGGUCAGCCAAGUCUGCCGUCAAAUCAGGUUGCUUAACGACCUAAAGGCGGUGGAAACUGGCAGACUAGAGAGCAGUAGGGGUAGCAGGAAUUCCCAGUGUAGCGGUGAAAUGCGUAGAGAUUGGGAAGAACAUCGGUGGCGAAAGCGUGCUACUGGGCUGUAUCUGACACUCAGGGACGAAAGCUAGGGGAGCGAAAGGGAUUAGAUACCCCUGUAGUCCUAGCCGUAAACGAUGGAUACUAGGCGUUGCUU
rnacentral:rRNA from 1 species